rnacentral:rRNA from 1 species
UACGAACUGUGCAAACGUUAUUCGGAAUCACUGGGCUUAAAGAGCUCGUAGGCGGUUCGGUAAGUCAGGUGUGAAAUCUCCACGCUCAACGUGGAGGCGCCACCUGAAACUGCCGUGACUCGAGUCCGGUAGGGGAGUGUGGAAUUCCCGGUGUAGCGGUGAAAUGCGCAGAUAUCGGGAGGAACACCAGUGGCGAAGGCGGCACUCUGGGCCGGUACUGACGCUGAGGAGCGAAAGCGUGGGGAGCGAACAGG